rnacentral:lncRNA from 1 species
AAUAUCCAGCGGCCAUCCGCCAUGGCACAUUGUAGGGGACCUCCAGAAUCGCCCUGUAGAAAUGUAUGAACAACUCCGAUUCCCACAAGACUCCUAAACUGCGUUCAAAAGUAAGCGACGGUCAUCAUCAAGUUAAAAAAAAAACUAAAUACAAAAAGAGACACAAAUUUUAAAUCAAGUACUGGUUUCAAAAUGUUGUAACUGUUGGUUUGGAGGCUUUUGCGUAAAACUUACCUUACCAAAUGAAAUCGACGGACGAUGGGAACUGCGACAAUUUCGGCUAACGUUCGGAACCUUGCAAACUUCCGAUAGCAAACUGUUGAAUCCUUCGACGACUUAGACCUGUUGCUGAUCAGCAAAGAAUCCCAAAGAGUGAAACUGGCAUUUAUUCCAGCCGUCCGCUUUUAUACGCUCUGGAAAUGCGCGUCGGUGGUGUUAUCUACGUGGAUUCGUCCAUCUACAGGAUGUUUAUAUAAAAAAACACUAGUUUGUGCUUCCCAACGCAAUUUACCUCAAAUGUACGUAAAACUAAAAUUUAUGAAAUCAACCUUAGCUUUAAAACAUUUGCCUAAAAAGUGCGCUUCAUAGGAACUCUUUUUCAUGUAAAACAAGCAACUUUCGUUGCAGUAAUACAAUAAAAGUCGAAUAAAAAGUGAA